UUUAACGGAGAGUUUGAUCCUGGCUCAGGAUUAACGCUGGCGGCGUGCCUGACACAUGCAAGUCGAACGGGUGCUAAUUGCCCGCAAGGGUGGCUAGCGCUAGUGGCGGACGGGUGAGUAACACGUGGGCAACCUGCCUGAGAGUGCAGAAUAACCCUGCGAAAGCAGAGCUAAUACUGCAUGUGGUUGUCGGAUGGCAUCAUCUGACAACUAAAGUCGCAAGACGCUC
rnacentral:rRNA from 1 species